AGAAGGCACACCCGGAGAACUGAAACAUCUUAGUACCCGGAGGAAGAGAAAGAAAAUUCGAUUCCCUUAGUAGCGGCGAGCGAAACGGGAAGAGCCCAAACCAACAAGCUUGCUUGUUGGGGUUGUAGGACACUCUAUACGGAGUUACAAAGGACGACAUUAGACGAAUCAUCUGGAAAGAUGAAUCAAAGAAGGUAAUAAUCCUGUAGUCGAAAAUGUUGUCUCUCUUGAGUGGAUCCUGAGUACGACGGAGCACGUGAAAUUCCGUCGGAAUCUGGGAGGACCAUCUCCUAAGGCUAAAUACUCUCUAGUGACCGAUAGUGAACCAGUACCGUGAGGGAAAGGUGAAAAGCACCCCGGAAGGGGAGUGAAAUAGAACCUGAAACCGUGUGCUUACAAGUAGUCAGAGCCCGUUAAUGGGUGAUGGCGUGCCUUUUGUAGAAUGAACCGGCGAGUUACGAUUUGAUGCAAGGUUAAGCAGUAAAUGUGGAGCCGUAGCGAAAGCGAGUCUGAAUAGGGCGUUUAGUAUUUGGUCGUAGACCCGAAACCAGGUGAUCUACCCUUGGUCAGGUUGAAGUUCAGGUAACACUGAAUGGAGGACCGAACCGACUUACGUUGAAAAGUGAGCGGAUGAACUGAGGGUAGCGGAGAAAUUCCAAUCGAACCUGGAGAUAGCUGGUUCUCUCCGAAAUAGCUUUAGGGCUAGCCUCAAGUGAUGAUUAUUGGAGGUAGAGCACUGUUUGGACGAGGGGCCCCUCUCGGGUUACCGAAUUCAGACAAACUCCGAAUGCCAAUUAAUUUAACUUGGGAGUCAGAACAUGGGUGAUAAGGUCCGUGUUCGAAAGGGAAACAGCCCAGACCACCAGCUAAGGUCCCAAAAUAUAUGUUAAGUGGAAAAGGAUGUGGCGUUGCCCAGACAACUAGGAUGUUGGCUUAGAAGCAGCCAUCAUUUAAAGAGUGCGUAAUAGCUCACUAGUCGAGUGACACUGCGCCGAAAAUGUACCGGGGCUAAACAUAUUACCGAAGCUGUGGAUUGUCCUUUGGACAAUGGUAGGAGAGCGUUCUAAGGGCGUUGAAGCAUGAUCGUAAGGACAUGUGGAGCGCUUAGAAGUGAGAAUGCCGGUGUGAGUAGCGAAAGACGGGUGAGAAUCCCGUCCACCGAUUGACUAAGGUUUCCAGAGGAAGGCUCGUCCGCUCUGGGUUAGUCGGGUCCUAAGCUGAGGCCGACAGGCGUAGGCGAUGGAUAACAGGUUGAUAUUCCUGUACCACCUAUAAUCGUUUUAAUCGAUGGGGGGACGCAGUAGGAUAGGCGAAGCGUGCGAUUGGAUUGCACGUCUAAGCAGUAAGGCUGAGUAUUAGGCAAAUCCGGUACUCGUUAAGGCUGAGCUGUGAUGGGGAGAAGACAUUGUGUCUUCGAGUCGUUGAUUUCACACUGCCGAGAAAAGCCUCUAGAUAGAAAAUAGGUGCCCGUACCGCAAACCGACACAGGUAGUCAAGAUGAGAAUUCUAAGGUGAGCGAGCGAACUCUCGUUAAGGAACUCGGCAAAAUGACCCCGUAACUUCGGGAGAAGGGGUGCUCUUUAGGGUUAACGCCCAGAAGAGCCGCAGUGAAUAGGCCCAAGCGACUGUUUAUCAAAAACACAGGUCUCUGCUAAACCGUAAGGUGAUGUAUAGGGGCUGACGCCUGCCCGGUGCUGGAAGGUUAAGAGGAGUGGUUAGCUUCUGCGAAGCUACGAAUCGAAGCCCCAGUAAACGGCGGCCGUAACUAUAACGGUCCUAAGGUAGCGAAAUUCCUUGUCGGGUAAGUUCCGACCCGCACGAAAGGCGUAACGAUUUGGGCACUGUCUCAACGAGAGACUCGGUGAAAUCAUAGUACCUGUGAAGAUGCAGGUUACCCGCGACAGGACGGAAAGACCCCGUGGAGCUUUACUGUAGCCUGAUAUUGAAAUUCGGCACAGCUUGUACAGGAUAGGUAGGAGCCUUUGAAACGUGAGCGCUAGCUUACGUGGAGGCGCUGGUGGGAUACUACCCUAGCUGUGUUGGCUUUCUAACCCGCACCACUUAUCGUGGUGGGAGACAGUGUCAGGCGGGCAGUUUGACUGGGGCGGUCGCCUCCUAAAAGGGAACGGAGGCGCUCAAAGG
rnacentral:rRNA from 1 species